rnacentral:lncRNA from 1 species
CCCUUCUCUCUGAGCCCCAUCCCUCAGCUCCCUUCUCCUUACUGACUCUAAUCACUGAUUAAUCUCCACAAAUGCCCAAGAGAUUUUUCCCAGGGAGAACCUGCAGCUCUCACUUCAUAAUGCCUGACACAGUAGUUCUCCUCCCUCCACCAUUAUUAUCAUCACUGUCUUCACUCUCACCAGUACAUACUGCAUGCUUAUUGUGUACUCUGUACUGAGUCCCUACUAAGUGCAGAGUUCUGAAUUGGACUCCUACUGUGUGCAGAGCUCUGUACUGAGCUUCUACUGUCUACAGAGCUCUGAACUAAGCCUCUACUGUGUGCAAAGCUAUGCACUGUGUACAGAGCUACGUACUGAACUCCUGCUAUGUGGAGAGGUCUGUACAGAGCUCAUACUUCAUGCAGAGGACGGUACUGAGCUUCUACUGUGUGAAGAACUCUGUAUCGAGUUCCUACUGUGUGCAAAAUGCUGUCCUAUAUGGACUUGAGAAUAUGCAACUGAAGUAAUAUGCACAGUCCCUUACCCUUGAAGAGCUUACAAUUCCCAGUGCCUAACUCUGGGAUUUCCUCCCUGAAAUUCAAGCUUAGCAUCUUACAAGGUGUAUCAGGAGAAAUCACGAAUAAAAAGGAGCUCAAGCCAAAUCCCAGCCCAAGGUCUUCAUCCUGAGGAACCAGAGCUUCACCGCUUCCCUGGUGAAGGAUUUCUACCCCAAGGAGCUGUGUUUGACUCUGUCGGCCCCCUGUCCCCCACUCAUAGAACCUCCCUAGUCCACAGCCCCCUCCUCCCGGGGAACCUACAGCACUGUCGGGAUCGGACAGUUCGGCAAGGAGGAUACAAUGACCUGCUCUGUGCGACAUGGCUCCAUGCAAAUAAAGGUGACCAAAGGGCAGAUAGCAGCCCCAGGUGUGGUUCGUGGAUGGAGGGCUGGGGUGUGAGACUCAUGGUCUUUCGGCUGUCCAUGGUGGCUGGGCCUGACACAGAGCCCCAACAGACAACCUGUCGGGAUCUCUGGAGCAAGGCAUUGAUGGGGGAGAUGCUGAUCACUGUAACCCAGAAAUUAGGGAAGCUCCCAAGUGGUCACCUCCUCUCCUUCCUCCUCUUCCUCCUCCUCCUACUGUCUCCCACACCCCAGAGACACCUCCAUUUCCUCACCCAGAGACUCUCAGGGACUGGAUCCAGGCCAGUGUCUCAACGGGCUCUGAC